UGAACCUUUACUAUAGCUUAGUAUUGACCUUGGACAAAUAAUGUUUAGGAUAGGUGGGAGACUUUGAAGCGUGAUCGCUAGAUUGCGUGGAGUCAACCUUGAAAUACCACCCUGGUAGUGUUGGGGUUCUAACUUAGGCCCAUGAUCUGGGUUGAGGACAAUGUGUGGUGGGUAGUUUGACUGGGGCGGUCUCCUCCCAAAG
rnacentral:rRNA from 1 species